rnacentral:lncRNA from 1 species
UUUCUUUCAGCCAUGCUGGACAAUGGGCAUCUCCUUUUGACUCACUUUCACAGCUUUGAGAGGCUCUCAGAUCAGCCACAUUCCAAUCGGACUGGAGUCAGAUCAGAGCUGUGCUGGACCGCAUCAAGGUCUCGCACAGAAAGACAAGGAGCAGAUGGCCGGCACCGAGCCCUCCUCCCCCUUUCAGCGUGCAAAGGCAGGCAAUGUGGGAAAGCGUUCGCCCGGCAUUGCCUAUUGAUCCCUGAAUAGAACCACCGCAUGCCACCAGCCUGUAGUUAGAAAGCUGCUCUGCUCAAUAAGAGCCCAAAUGAAUGACUACAUUCUUCAAAGAGACAAACUAAGAAUACACACUUUCAGUCAACUAAAUGACCUAAUACUGAAAAUACAAUGGCUUCAGAAAAGACAGACUAUUUACAGAACUCUAUUCGUGAAACAGACAUUAGAGACAAUCCAAUCCGAUCUCUGUUACAUUCAGCAAUAGUAUGGUGGUCAGACCUGGGUCAGAGAGACAUGGGUGGAUUACUCAACCUCUCUAAGCAUCAGCUUCAUUACCUGUAAAAGGAAAUAACAG